rnacentral:rRNA from 1 species
GCUUAUCACCAUUCCAGAUUGAAUAUACCCGAUCUCGUCUGAUCUCAGAAGCAAGCAAUCUCGGGCUUGGUUAUUACUUGGAUGGGUGACCGCUUGGGAAUACAAG